AUUUGCCUGUUACUUAACUAGAAAUCUACGGAUGCACAAACGCACAAAACGGAGAAAAUGAAACAAAUAUGGACAACUUGUUCCGAAACACCCCCGAGUGGGGAACGGUCCUCAAAAGUAACCCUAUUGUUUUCCCCCAAAAUUCCUAUGUUCUUGGAAUCUACAUAAUCCAAGGAAUAUUU